GAGACUUUUUGAGCUUCAUAAGUUACACCUCACUCACGUAAUUUUUCACUGUCAAGCAUCAAGCAUCACCAACCGAAAGAAAAAUCUGGUCGAAGUAUACUUGCCCGGUGGUAAGAAGAUGAAGCCAUUUGGCUACAUUUCGUGCUUUAUUGCUCUCUUUGCACUUGCUCUACUAUCUUAUGUGGAAACACUUUCAACUCAUAAUCAACAAGAUGUUGAAGAACAAAAGAACUGGCAGUUCGGCCAAGGCAGCGCGGUGACUGGGGCGCUCCCCCCUACGCUUGCAACUUCAUGGAUGGUCUCGGUCAUAAUUUGGUAUUUUUAUUGAUGCCAUGAUGGACGGAAGAAGACGAUGCGAGUAAAAUGCGGUGAACUAUUGGUGUCAUUUCAUAUUGUAUAAUAUUGUAACAGUAUAUAUUAAAGUGUAGAUUUGUGAUAUAGGGUGUAAGAAUAAGAACGAUGGUGUAAGAAUAAGAACGAUGAUAUUGUAUUUAUCUUUUGUGUAAUAAUAAUUAAUAAUUUCCACCGGAUGGUGGUUAGUGUUAUAAGAUACUUGUGAA